rnacentral:rRNA from 1 species
UACGGAGGGUGCAAGCGUUAUCCGGAUUCACUGGGUUUUAAAGGGUGCGUAGGCGGGUUGGUAAGUCCGUGGUGAAAUCUCCAAGCUUAACUUGGAAACUGCCGUGGAUACUAUCAAUCUUGAAUAUCGUGGAGGUAAGCGGAAUAUGUCAUGUAGCGGUGAAAUGCUUAGAUAUGACAUAGAACACCAAUUGCGUAGGCAGCUUACUACACGAUCAUUGACGCUGAGGCACGAAAGCGUGGGGAGCAAACAGG